rnacentral:rRNA from 1 species
CAGUAGCCGCGGGAAUACGUAGGUGGCAAGCGUUGUCCGGAGUUAUUGGGCGUAAAGCGCGCGCAGGCGGAUCAGUUAGUCUGUCUUAAAAGUUCGGGGCUUAACCCCGUGAUGGGAUGGAAACUGCUGAUCUAGAGUAUCGGAGAGGAAAGUGGAAUUCCUAGUGUAGCGGUGAAAUGCGUAGAUAUUAGGAAGAACACCAGUGGCGAAGGCGACUUUCUGGACGAAAACUGACGCUGAGGCGCGAAAGCCAGGGGAGCGAACGGGAUUAGAGACCCCCGUAGUCCCUGUCUCUUAUACC